rnacentral:rRNA from 1 species
CCUACGGGGGGCUGCAGUGGGGAAUAUUGGACAAUGGGGGCAACCCUGAUCCAGCCAUGCCGCGUGAGUGAUGAAGGCCUUCGGGUUGUAAAGCUCUUUUGGCGGGGACGAUGAUGACGGUACCCGCAGAAUAAGCCCCGGCUAACUUCGUGCCAGCAGCCGCGGUAAGACGAAGGGGGCUAGCGUUGUUCGGAAUUACUGGGCGUAAAGGGCGCGUAGGCGGUCUUGUCAGUCAGGCGUGAAAGCCCUGGGCUCAACCUGGGAUGUGCGCUUGAUACUGCAAGGCUUGAGUGCAGGAGAGGAUGGUGGAAUUCCCAGUGUAGAGGUGAAAUUCGUAGAUAUCGGGAGGAACACCAAUGGCGUAGGCAGAUCACUGGCUCGUUUCUGACGCUAAGGCACGAAAGCGUGGGUAGCAAACGGGAUUAGAUACCCGUGUAGUC